CACAGGCUGUCAUUUGAGGAACUUGUCACAACCCUUUGUUUCCUAUCUUGUUUUGGGAGGAUACUUCUGUUCCCUUGGAUUGGACCAUGUCCAGUUCUCACCCUUAAGGCCUUUCCUUGUCUUAGUCAAUUUAACUCCUCUGCUCUGUAAUCCUUGGAUUACAAAACAAGUUGUUUCUCCUUUCCAGGGACAAGAGGAGCUUCCCUAUUGUUCUUAAUUCUUAGGGCAGAGAAAAAGGCACAAUCAUAUUAACUUGUAGCAGACGAGAAGGAAUUGGGUAGAUUAGUGAAAUCCUUUAUUCCUGCUGAUUUUUUUUUCUUUUUAAGACGAGGUCUUGCUCUUUUAUUCAGGCUGGAGUGCAGUGGUGUGAGCACAGCUCACUGCAGCCUCAAACUCCUGGGCUCAAGUGCUGCUCCUGCCUCAGCCUCCUGCAAAGCUGGAACUACAGAUACGUGAUCAUUUAACACACGGGUGUUAAGUUCAUUCUUGCUGCAAAAGAAGGCCAUUGUACCUCCUGACCCUGAAAGCAAGAUGAAGUCACUGAGACACCAAAGGUUAAUUGCUUGCCCAAAGCCAUGUAGCAACUUGAACUGUGUCUCUUUAAAUCUACUGAGGAAGAUAUUCCUUCUGGCCCACAGGAUGCCAAAAUGACUUGAUGAUUUAUUUAUGCAGCACUUGGCAGCCUAUAGUCCAGAUUGUGGCUGAAGCUGAAUUUUAUGAGCCUUCCCCUAGGACACUGGAUUUUGUGGAUGCUCCUUGGACACACUGGAAUGCACCUUGGGCAGCCCGUGGAUCAUUUUCCCCAGUAUGAAGCAUGGGAGGAGCUGGAAAAUGAACUCAUGAGCCAGUUGAGCCAGCACAACAAGCUGGAGCCAGGAUAUGCAGCUGGGAGCGAGUGUCCAGCCAACAGCCCGUGUCUCAGGCCCUGCCAGGGGAUGAAUCAAUUAGCAAGAGAAGCAAUGAUGCAAAUGCUCCGGGGUCACUUGGGAUGCUGUUUGCCUUUUUGAUAGAGAAAGCACACCAUAAAUAACAUCACACCUCAGGAAAUCAUUCCAGGAGGCCCCGAUGCUGGCAGGGCUGCUGCCAGGGACGGAAGGAAUCGUUUGCUCAUUGUGUGUAUUUCCCCCAGCUCAGUCAAUGGGAGAUUUGUAGUAAAAUCAAAGUAUUUAAAAGGAGGACAGUAUGUGGUAACAGAGGCAUGUUUAGCAAUUUUUUUAGUACCAGAACCUGUGAUUUAUGACCCAGAGUUACAGCCAACUUUAUUACAAAAAUGACUUCACCCAUAAUAACCUUAUUCAGGGCCCUCUGAUGAAUGAUGUAGUAUCCAACAGCAUUAUAAUCUAGUAAAUAUUCAAACACAAUUCCCGCCUCCGCCUCAUUUCCAACCAACCCCUCAGAAGCAGGCUUCCCCCUUUACCUGCUGGGAGAAGUGGGGUCCUGGGUAAGGCUUUGUGCUCUGUCUGUGGGAGUUUGCCUGGAUCAGGCAUUUAUACUAAGCCAGGACAGAAAGUGACCUCCUGGGGUCUCAGUCAUAUCUUGUCCAACCUUGUCCCCUGAGGAGUAAUGAGCAGAAGACACCCACUCACCCUUCAUUUCCUCUCUGUGCUGAAACUUAUUUCCUCCCUGCAUUCCCCCACUCCUCCAGAGCUCAGAUCCCCACCACCUGAAAGGAGCUCCAGUAAGCUCCCUGACAUUUUUAAUUGCCAUGGUAACUGAGGGCUGCACUAAAACCGCCAGGGCUGGGUGUCCAAGCAGGGUCCCCUGGGCGUACCGGGAUCUAGAAACUAGCCCUCCAUCUUAUUAAACUCCGGUGUCAGUUCCUAGCAAUUGUUUUAAAUUUACACCCUCAGAGUGGCUUAGUGGGAUUACAUGUCCAUUUGCAUUAAAACAGUUUUCUGUCAUUAAACUGCCAUACAAUAAGCUUCCUUGGGACAAAUUAAUGAGCUCUAAAUAUCAUCAAGUAGAAGUUCACUUCAAGACAGGCAACAAGGAGGGGGGUCGGAAGGAAGUGGCUGCUCAGAAUCUCAUGGCCCAGGAGAACGAUAAGUGCCAACUAAAGAAGGGUCUUGUCCUGUUUCUUCACUGCACGAUAAGUGGUCCUGAUUUAGAGCUGAAUGGGGAGAUUUGGCAAUAUUCUCCCUGUUCGCCAAAAUCCUAUAGCUCAUCUUCUAUUCCUUCUUCCAAAUAUGACUUUACCCUUGACUUUGCUGAAAUUUGCUGAUGAAACACUGACCUCUUGUCUCAGUGACAAUGUCUCAGCCUCAUUUUCUUUGUCCUGUAGUUUCUCUGUCCUUGAGGAACUUGCGUGCAUCCACGUGGCCUGGGAACAACACGCACACAACGCAGCACUAUGUGUAGCUUGAACAAGUGCUCCCUAACUUUGUUAGUUCCCACACACUUUGCUAAAAUGCAUGUAUGAUUGCUACUGAACUGUCUGGGUCCUCAGACCUUAUCGGGACCCUGGAACACGAGUCCUGAUCAGGAGCACCUUUCAUGGUCAUCAGGAGCAGAAUAGGAACAGGGAACAGUUUAGCUUCUAAGACUGAAUUUGUCCUGCUCACAAGAAUCACCAGAGCUUGUCCUCACAAAUACAUAUGUGUGUCUAAGUAGAAAUUUUUCAUUAACACCAAAUAAACCCCCAAACCUUCCCUUAUGUAAAGGAAAUAAGACUGGCUGCUAGACAGACUUCUUGAUCCACAGAGGCUGUGAUCUCAUUUCUGUGUAGCCUUAACAGGGGACAGUAAUGUAUGAUUGAGACACUGCUAUAUUUAGGAAUGACAAGAUGAACAUUAUUAAUAGCUUAAUUGACAUUAAGGCAAUUACCCCUACCCUUAUUACAGUUUGUAGAAUUACACAGAAAAUAUUGGCUGGGGCCUUUUUUUCCCUAGAGCUACCCAAGGAUACAGCAUUUUAUUUCAUGCCAGAUCCCAGCUUUGACAUUAGAUACUUAGCCAUAGAAUGAUUCCAGUAAAUCAUUAUAAAUGCAUUAUAAUAAAGAUGUUAUGAGCUAUCAGAUAUUAACCCCCAACCCCUAAAGAGAGAUAAAUAGUCCAGUUGCAUGAUUCCCACUUUUGUUUCAUAAGAAAUAAGCUUUUGCAAAGAGCAACUGACUAAUGAAUUAUAAAAUGGUGUGUUGAGCUCAGAUAAUUAAACAAUGCAUUUUAGUGUCUAGUGCAGGAUGAACACUAAAUCAUACACAAAUAAAAAAGGUAAAAAUCUGAGCCCCAUGCCUAACUCCUAUUUUUGAAUAACAUUAAUGUUGGUCUACAGUCCAAAAAUGCUUCAACUAUUUUCUUAUCUGAUUAGAGAGGCAUAUCAAGUAUAAGAUCAAGGCACAGUAGGCAAACUAAACCAACAGUCAGAACAAAAACUGUGAAGGUGCUAAUUUCAGAUAAGCCCACAAGGUUAUUUUAAUGGAGAUUUUACAUGGAGAUUGCUUUUUCCCCCAAAGUGUUAAUGGGACAAAAGUCUAGAAGGACCUGGAAGUUUUCAGGUUUCCUUAUACUUUAUAUUUUCUCUGAACUCAUAAUAAAGCAUAUUAGUGGGAAUGGGAUCUAUGCUAUUGGUGGUGGUCUUAGCCUUAUAGUGUUGGAAAGAUGAAUACACAUCCUAAAAUCUUCUCUAGGUUGUGGAGGUGCAGGGAUGAGGAGGGGUUGGUUUGGGUUUCAACCAUUAUCCUCCCCAGGUGGUGGUAUCCUGCCCAGCAGGGCUUCAUCUAGUGGUCAACCAUGGAACACCAUGACAUUUUCACCAGUGGCCCUCAGACAGGGCUGGUUUGCCAUUGGCUGCCAUUUCCUGGCAUGUCGUAGAUUUGCUGCGUGAUUUGAAGCUGUGCUUCAGCACAUCCUGAAUGUGUUUUUUAGUCUUUCAGUAUCUCAAAGACAUGGUGUCCGCCUCAAGGUAGUCUCCUAUUUCUUCGUCAAAUAGCACAUCAUUAAGGACUGUGUGGCCAAAAUUACAGAUGGUCUUGGACUCUGUAUGGGCAAUGACCACCUGUGCUGGUAAUCGAGGCUUCCCUGGAACACCUGGGAACAUACCACACAGCCAGUCCUCUCCUGUGCUCCAGUCAAGCUUAACCUCACAGCCCGAUACUCCCUCCACUUCCCUAGCUCCAUGUGUUAGCCACUGCAGGUUAAUUGAUCUAAGGCUUAUUUUCUUCAAAUAUAAAAUGAAGAUAAUAAUGCCUACCCAGAGGGUCAUGUGAACAUUAAAUGAGAUCAAUUAUGUAAAGAUCUAUCUAUGCAGUGCCUUUCACAGAGUAUGCCCACAAAUAAAUGUUACCUGUUUCAUUUUAGUUAUCUAUGUUUAGCUAUCUUUGUGUUUUUUCUAUCCUGCUUCUUCUCGCUCCACUAUACUCUUACAUCCUAAUUCUCUCUCUCUCUCAUACACACAUACUUUGCUGUGUCUAGCACAGUGCUUUGCUUGUGGCUCACACUCUACAUGCUUGUUACCCUGAACUAUUAACAAAAGCAGCUGCUAGUAACAGUUAAUGUUUUCUGACCACCUACAUGAGCCAGGCACUAUGCUAAGUAUCAUCACUUCCUUUAAUUCUCACAAGCUUAUGAGACAAAUACUAUUUUAAUUCUCAUCUAUCGGAAAUUAAAGAUUAAAGAUGUUCUAUAACUUGCCCAAGGUCACACAAGCUCUUAAGUGGAUAGUCAAGAUCCAAACUCAGAACCGGCCUGGAUUUGAAAUCUCAGUUCUUAACUAUCACUGUGUCAGACUGAUUUUGUUAGCUUUUUCCUCCUUUAGACUGGGCCCUAUCAAGGGAUCAGAGAUAAGCAUGUACCCACUCUCAGAUGAGUGAUCCCACGACCUCAAGUUUUGAAGUUCCAGGAAGUCCAGAAGUGUAUGCUAACUCUAGUUUAUAGCUGUUCAAAAGUCACUUGUCUAAAAACUUCAGGGACAUUAUGUAAAACCAUCCAAAAAACAUUAUUGCACACCCCAUAAAGUUAAUUUCACUUUGCAAGAAUGUGUUUGAGGGAGGUGAUGCACUUGGCUAUGUAUUCAGGUUGGUGGCCACAAUAUAUGGAGCUGUGCUGUCAUCCUUGACACUCUGGCUUACUGGCAGCCUCGCUCCAACACACUGUCACAGGCGAGGGAUGGCCUCCCAGUCUUGACUCAGAACACUUAAGCUUCCUAAUGGUCCAAGUCUCACAAACCACACACCUCCCUUAAUUAAAAAAGUAAAUUAAAAGGAGUAUUUCAACUUAGGGAUGAAUUAUCUUAGUAAUUUAAGAUUGACAUUUUAUUGGAUAAAAGGACAUGUAUGAGUUUAUUUUAAAAUACUGCCUUCAUGAACAAGAGACCACAGAAAAGAUUAUCCUGAGGUUGCAAGGCGUUUGUAGAGCCAGAGGACACCCUUGCAAAACAGCCACUGUGAGAGGCCAGUUGCUGCAAAUCACAGGUCAGCCACUUCUACACUUGUCCUUCAAGCACAUCAGCCGGACAUUUGGAGUUUUCUAUAGUCUUCAUUUCAAACUCGAUCAUCCUGAGUGUUGUGGUGGACACUACUAGUGUCACAAAGAGUCCAGCACCCUCUCCUUCCAGGUAUAUAAACGGUGCAUUGCUGGGCUCCUUUGCAGUUGGAUAGGUCAGGUAAUUUGUCUGUUGUGAAGAGUUACUAUGUUUCACUUCUAAGCCGAAGCAUUUGAUUGUCAAUGGAAUACCCUCCAGCUCUCUCCUUCCCUGCAGAAGUAAUCUUGGAAGCAUGUGUUGAGAUGACAGAGUUCCCAAUAGCCUAGAUUCCUGAAUGACUUAGUGGAGCUGAGUCCUCCACAGGUCCAUGUUGGACAUGCACAAUCAGUGAGAAUAAACUUUUGUUGGAUUAAGUCACCGAUGUUUGGAGACUGUUCAUUACCACAACAAAAUGUAGCCAAAUCCCGACUAAUCCAGGAAUUAACCUUUUGUUCAGAAAAUACAGCCCUUCUAAGUCAUAAACCCAUAUUCUCUUUCCAAUAGCUUAUUAAAUGGUUUAUGUAUUUUCCAUCUUUUUGAUAUACUCUCAGAUGCCUAAAAUUACCACAGUGACCUUGGAUUGGACAAGGUAGUUGUUUGUCUUUUAGCCAUUAAUAAAUAUUGCUACUGUGGAAUGAGUGAGGGAAACAGAAGAAGACAAGGUUGGCCUUUUGAAAAUAAUAUGGCAUCAUGUAACGAUGAAAAAGAGAAAAAAUACAGAAAAAAGAGAAAACAAGAGAAAAAUGAAAAACAAGUCUAUAAGAGAGAAAAGUAGAGAAAAACAAAACAAUAGAAAUGCUGGGCAAUUUGUUUCAGAUUCACUAUAACCAACUGCUUGUUGUUGGGUUCUGCUCUAGAAGGCAUCUCUCAGGAUGCCUUUGACCCUCAGCACCUUUUUGUGUAUGUGCCUAGCAUACUGAGGUGCUCAAUAAAUGUUGAUUGAAAGGGUAAAUAAAGGAAUAAAUUUCCAUUUUAUAAUCUUGGAAGCAUAUAUUACUUUAAACGGCCUAUGACUAUGAAUGGACAUUCCAUUGCACAUUGAAAGGCAGUACAACAAGUGAGAAGGGAAGUAGAAAUAUAUGAGUUUGAAUAGCUCUUCAUAACCUUUAAACCUGAGUCCUUGCAAAGAGCAACUAUGAGGUCAGAGCAAUAAUUCUUUGUCCUAAAAACAGGACACCACUGAUAACUCAGAGCCGUCUGUUGAAGAAAGUGUUUCAAAUAAACUGGUUAGCAAUGCCCUUGUUUUGUUUGCCUCUGGAUGGGAAGAACUAGGAGUGCAAUCAGCACCGAGGUGUCUAUAGUCUUGAUGUGGUGGGAGAUGAAAGUAGGGGAACUGAAUAAUGUAUUUUUUCAAAACCUUGAAUGGAGCGAGAAAUACUGAUAAAAAGGAAGAGUUGUGAGUCAUUCUUCUGCUGAUGCCAACUGGGAAGCUCCAGUAGUAUAUUCCCCUGGUGAUGAAGUAAUUCACUUUUUCUGAGAUUAACAUUCUGUAGUAAGGCUGUUCCUCAUACAAGGUUGCUCACAGGUAAAGUUAAUAAAAGGCAGAGUCUAAGAAUUCAUAAGGAAGUUUGCCUUUCCAUGGGGAGAAAGCAUGCAAUCAGGGUCUCUAGUCUGUGUGCACACGUGUGUGUGCGCGUGUGUGUGUGCGCGCGCGCACUCAUAUGCACAGCUCAGAUGUCCAGGACUUGAGAUGAGAAUGGAAAGCACCGAAUAAGAAGAAAGCUGCCACACAGUAGGCUGAAGGAGAAUGACUACAACCUUUAGGCUGAAAAAAAAAAAACACUACAUGCUGGCGUGUAUCCUUGUGGAUAUGUGGAAACACAACAAAAAUAUUGGUCCAUCCUGGCUGCAGUUUUAAAGGAAAGGAAGAUCUCCUGGCAUCAACAUCUCUUGGAGAUGAACACACUAUACAUGCAAGUUCAAAUCUAUCAUCUUCCACCAGUCAACCCAAGCUACAUUCCCCUUCCAUUUAUUAUCAAAGGAAUAAGCACUUUUGUUUCCCAGGCUUAACUCCUCAAAAUCAUGAGCUUUUCUUCCCUACCUUUCCCUUCAUUCGAACUCUUUCCUUUCAAAAUGUUUAUAGAAUUCAUUCUUAUCCUCUCCCUGCCUGGGGGGUUUAUCUAGCUAGUCUAAAUUCUAGAUCAUUGCCUUUCUAUAGGAAAUAUAAAACACACAAAUAAUGAAAUACCCAUAAUCCAAGGCAGAAAUCAUGAGUGUUAUAGUAACAAUGGCCUCAAGAGCUAGACUGCCCAGGCAGCUCAUAUU
rnacentral:lncRNA from 10 species